rnacentral:sRNA from 1 species
AAAGAAUAUCAAUACGUACACUAGAUAUAGAAAUCGGAAUUAGGUACGUUGUGAUCCAUUUCAGCUACUGUUAGGGGUAAGAUUUGGGCUUGCUUGGCCCAAGGCCCAAAUCCAAGUCAAAGGCCUAAGCAGAAUGUUAAGUCAAGAGGGUAGGCUCGUCAAAAUCCUGGAGGAGUGUCCUACACGCAGAAGGCUAUAAAUACGGAAUAGCAUGUCUUGUCAAAGGGGGAUUCCGCCGGACACGCAGAGACACAGAGCAGCUCGUCAGCUCACCCGUCCGAAGUAUCCCGCCAGCCGGUCCGUCUCAAGCAGCUCGUCAGCUCACCCGUCUCAAGCAGCUCGUCAGCUCUCCCCUCCGAAGUAUCCCGCCAGCCGGUCCGUAUCAAGCAGCUCGUCAGCUCACCCGUCUCAAGCAGCUCGUCAGCUCUCCCCUCCGAAGUAUCCCGCCAGCCGGUCCGUCUCAAACAGCUCGUCAGCUCACCCGUCUCAAGCAGCUCGUCAGCUCACCCGUCCGAAGUAUCCCGCCAGCCGGUCCGUCUCAAGCAGCUCGUCAGCUCACCCGUCUCAAGCAGAUCGUCAGCUCACCCGUCUCAAGCAGCUCGUCAGCUCUCCCCUCCGAAGUAUCCCGCCAGCCGGUCCGUCUCAAGCAGCUCGUCAGCUCACCCGUCUCAAUCAGCUCGUCAGCUCUCCCCUCCGAAGUAUCCCGCCAGCCGGUCCGUCUCAAACAGCUCGUCAGCUCACCCGUCCGAAGUAUCCCGCCAGCCGGUUCGUCUCAAGCAGCUCGUCAGCUCACCCGUCUCAAGCAGCUCGUCAGCUCACCCGUCUCAAGCAGCUCGUCAGCUCACCCGUCUCAAGCAGCUCGUCAGCUCACCCGUAUCAAGCAGCUCGUCAGCUCACCCGUCCAAAGUACCUCGUCUGCCCAUCCAUCUUGAGUAACUCGUUUACUCGUCCGUCCGAAGUGUCUCUCCGACCUGCCCGCCCAAAAUAACUAACCUACUCGCACGUCUCGAGAAGCCAUCCAGCUCGUCGCACAUCUGCCGGCUCGUCAAUUACCUGCCGACCUUCCUCCAAUAAUGGCCUAGCUCGUUUAUCACAAUAUGAACUACGUGUGGCUUGAUCCCUUUCUAAGGGUACGUAGGCAACCUUUUACAAGGUUCAGCUAUAAAACGAAUAAACUCUAUUCUUCCUCGGAAGAUCGUCUUCCGGCCUCAAGCUCGUCUUUCAUCUACAAUCGGCUCGUUCUUACUCCAUUUAUGCUCGUUGAAGAAAUCAUCAUUUGUAAUCCGUCCAAUCCGCCUAAGUCGCGGGCUCGUCAUUAAUAGAAAGAUUCUUCUUCCUUCCCUAGAGAUCCCAUUUUCGUACUUGUGUGAUUCGUGCAUCAACAGCUACCAUAAACUAUUAAUUGUAGUGAGUAAGUGGACUUUAGAUUCAUAUAGAGUUAUGCGAUUCGGUUGAACGUAUCAUACGAAUCUCAGUGUCUACCUAAUUAAUACACAUAUAAUGCAAAAAGAACAAACGCAUACUAUAGAUGAUAAGACGUGAUUGGACACAUUAAACACAUAGUUUACGGCAUUACAUAAACCGAUACACAUAAUUAAUUACGUGUUACUUCUGUGGCGUGUAGUAGAAAGACUAGCUGCAUAUGGCACCUAAUUAAUACUCAUAUAUGGUUCAUGCGAAAUGCUGAUAUGUAUAAGGUAAUAUAUACCACCACUUUGGUACCACAAUGCAACAUCUAAAUUCGAUUAUGAUAAGCUAUGAUAAGCUAUCUUCUCAAUAUCAAUUAAUCGCUUCUUUAUUCUAAUACCACUCCUUAAUAUAUGCCUAUCAUAUCAUUAUUUCACAACGCAUGUUUACUUUUGUUAUGAAAUAGUUUUGUUUAAAGGGUGGUAACGUAAUUUAUGGGUUCCAUUAGGAUUGUGAUUUAUUUUCUCUCCUCAUCCUUAUGCAUGUAAGAAUUUGCAUUUUUAUAAAUAUAUACUAUGAAUUCAGUCCAACCUUACAGUGUGAACAAUUUAAUUAAACGAAGCAUAAUCCUUAAAAAAAUAAA